rnacentral:tRNA from 1 species
GUCAGGAUAGCUCAGUUGGUAGAGCAGAGGACUGAAAAUCAAGGGCGACACGCGAUUGCAG